GAUGAACGCUGGCGGCGUGCUUAACACAUGCAAGUCGAACGGACCUUCGGGUCAGUGGCGGACGGGUGAGUAACGCGUGAGAAUCUGCCCUCAGGAGGGGGAUAACGGCUGGAAACGGCCGCUAAUACCCCAUAUGCCGCGAGGUGAAAUGAAUUUCGCCUGAGGAUGAGCUCGCGUCUGAUUAGCUAGUUGGUGGGGUAAAGGCCUACCAAGGCGACGAUCAGUAGCUGGUCUGAGAGGAUGAUCAGCCACACUGGGACUGAGACACGGCCCAGACUCCUACGGGAGGCAGCAGUGGGGAAUUUUCCGCAAUGGGCGAAAGCCUGACGGAGCAACGCCGCGUGAGGGAUGAAGGCCUCUGGGCUGUAAACCUCUUUUCUCAAGNAAGAAGACCUGACGGUACUUGAGAAUAA
rnacentral:rRNA from 1 species